GACGAACGCUGGCGGCGUGCUUAACACACGCGAGUCGAACGGUAAGGCUCCAGCUUGCUGGGGUACACGAGUGGCGAACGGGUGCGUAACACGUGGGUGACCUGCCCUGCACUUCGGGAUAAGCCUGGGAAACUGGGUCUAAUACCGGAUAGGACCAUGGUGUGGAUACUGUGGUGGAAAGUUUUUUCGGUGUGGGAUGGGCCCGCGGCCUAUCCGCUUGUUGGGGGGGUAAUGGCCUACCAAGGCGGCGACGGGUAGCCGGCCUGAGAGGGUGGACGGCCACAUUGGGACUGAGACACGGCCCAGACUCCUACGGGAGGCAGCAGGGGGGAAUAUUGCACAAUGGGCGGAAGCCUGAUGCAGCGACGCCGCGUGGGGGAUGACGGCCUUCGGGUUGUAAACUCCUUUCACCAUCGACGAAGGGUUUCUGACGGUAGAUGGAGAAGAAGCACCGGCUAACUACGUG
rnacentral:rRNA from 1 species